UCUCACAAAAAGAAAAACCGCACGCACGCCCCUUCUCCCCCAACCGCUCGACCCCGCCGCCGCCCCUUCACGCUCCGCGCCUGCCCUCCGCCCCGUCGCCGCACCUGCUGCGGCCGCGCCUGCUCCGCCCCGCCUCCGCCGCUGCCCCUUCACGCCCCCGACACCCUCCACGCCGCCGUGCGCAGAGGCUCGGGACGCCCCCGACCGGCGCCGACGGCCGAGCGGCGCCUCCCGCAGGGGGGCCUGGCCGCGGCAGCACGCCCACGACCGACCGACGCCUCGGCCUGGGAUUGCCGGCGGUGCCCUGGGGUUGGUGUUGGGGUUGCUUACUGCCGACUCCGACGGCGAGGCCUCCGGUCCAGAUGUUGCUGCCUGCUGGACACGCAAACUGAAUUCUCCGAUGUUGCUGCUCUGCUGGCUAGGGAGGGAGUCGAGCGACAUACUGACACAUGACAUUCAAUUAUGAGGAUUGAGGAAAUUAACAUUAUUCAGUCAUCGAGGAUUUGGAAAGGGGCAGUAUUUUGAUCUCCUGGUCAUGGACAUGGAGCCAUGGAUUAUACCAACGAACAUCCUAAAUUGGUCCAACUAUGUGGGAUUGACCCGUUUUGAGCUGGACAAAGUUGAUGUACAUAACUUUUUUUGGGGAAUUCUGAACUGAUGUGUGCCACAACUAGAAUCUUUUACAAAGGAAGGAAGAUGGAUGUAUCUGGUACUGUCUUCUUUUAUUUAAUUUUUCUCUUUGCAGCCAAGAAGGUAUAAUGCAUCCUUGAGAACUACAGUGAUAAGGACUAAGGAAACAAAACAUCCACUGUGUCAAUCACUCAAGAUGGAGGUGCAUGCAGUUUUCCUGAAAGUUAAGUCUGAGAGCCUGCUCCUACAUAAAGCUGGGUGACGGGACGACGGCCAAUUUCUGGGAGGACAAAUGGUUGCCGGGUGGGCGUUCCGUCUAGGACCUGGCACCAACACUGCUCAAUUUUGUGCCCAAGAGAUGUCGCACGGUGGCCUACGUCCUGUCCAACAAAAACUGUAUAUCAGAGACAUCAAGGCCUCUCUGAGCCGGCGUUGGCCCAAUAUUUCCUCUGGGACGUUAUCGCAGAGGUGAUCACUUCGCCGGACAUCCCCGACUGCGUGGCUGGGCGAAUGCUGAUUUUCCAAUUCCAGGGGGCGGUUUCACUAGCACGGAGAAGUGGUGGAUCAAAGCAAGAAAGGCUGCGCCCAAAGCCUUUGAGGAAGGAUUUCGACACUAAUGACGAUCCUGGUGCACUAGAGGUUGUGGAAAGAGAGAAACACGAGGAUCUUUAAUGGUGUCUCUAGCUCUGUUCAGAAGGUCUUUGAAGUCAUUCUAUAGGAUUUUAGGAUGUGCCUAGCUGCUGGCUGUUUCUAUCAGUUUGUGUAAUUUCUGCUCCUGUUGUAUUUGUAGUCGUCAGCAACAUCAUCUCCGUGUGGCGGAGCUUCCUGUAACUCUCCUUUUCUAUCUUAAUAAAGAUCGGCCAAUGCCUUUGGAGUUGU